rnacentral:rRNA from 1 species
GGGUAGUUUGACUGGGGCGGUCUCCUCCUAAAGAGUAACGGAGGAGCACGAAGGUCAGCUAAUCCUGGUCGGACAUCAGGAGGUUAGUGCAAUGGCAUAAGCUGGCUUGACUGCGAGCGUGACGGCGCGAGCAGGUGCGAAAGCAGGUCAUAGUGAUCCGGUGGUUCUGAAUGGAAGGGCCAUCGCUCAACGGAUAAAAGGUACUCCGGGGAUAACAGGCUGAUACCGCCCAAGAGUUCAUAUCGACGGCGGUGUUUGGCACCUCGAUGUCGGCUCAUCACAUCCUGGGGCUGAAGUAGGUCCCAAGGGUAUGGCUGUUCGCCAUUUAAAGUGGUACGCGAGCUGGGUUUAGAACGUCGUGAGACAGUUCGGUCCCUAUCUGCCGUGGGCGCUGGAGAAUUGAGGGGGGCUGCUCCUAGUACGAGAGGACCGGAGUGGACGCAUCACUGGUGUUCGGGUUGUCAUGCCAAUGGCAUUGCCCGGUAGCUAAAUGCGGAAGAGAUAAGUGCUGAAAGCAUCUAAGCACGAAACUUGCCCCG